rnacentral:rRNA from 1 species
GACGAACGCUGGCGGCGUGCUUAACACAUGCCAGUCGAACGGAAAGGCCCUGCUUUUGUGGGGUGCUCGAGUGGCGAACGGGUGAGUAACACGUGAGUAACCUGCCCUUGACUUUGGGAUAACUUCAGGAAACUGGGGCUAAUACCGGAUAGGAGCUCCUGCUGCAUGGUGGGGGUUGGAAAGUUUCGGCGGUUGGGGAUGGACUCGCGGCUUAUCAGCUUGUUGGUGGGGUAGUGGCUUACCAAGGCUUUGACGGGUAGCCGGCCUGAGAGGGUGACCGGCCACAUUGGGACUGAGAUACGGCCCAGACUCCUACGGGAGGCAGCAGUGGGGAAUAUUGCACAAUGGGCGGAGGCCUGAUGCAGCAACGCCGCGUGCGGGAUGACGGCCUUCGGGUUGUAAACCGCUUUCGCCUGUGACGAAGCGUGAGUGACGGUAAUGGGUAAAGAAGCACCGGCUAACUACGU